rnacentral:rRNA from 1 species
GAUGAACGCUGGCGGCGUGCCUAAUACAUGCAAGUCGAGCGAACAGACGAGGAGCUUGCUCCUCUGACGUUAGCGGCGGACGGGUGAGUAACACGUGGAUAACCUACCUAUAAGACUGGGAUAACUUCGGGAAACCGGAGCUAAUACCGGAUAAUAUAUUGAACCGCAUGGUUCAAUAGUGAAAGACGGUUUUGCUGUCACUUAUAGAUGGAUCCGCGCCGCAUUAGCUAGUUGGUAAGGUAACGGCUUACCAAGGCAACGAUGCGUAGCCGACCUGAGAGGGUGAUCGGCCACACUGGGACUGAGACACGGUCCAGACUCCUACGGGAGGCAGCAGUAGGGAAUCUUCCGCAAUGGGCGAAAGCCUGACGGAGCAACGCCGCGUGAGUGAUGAAGGUCUUCGGAUCGUAAAACUCUGUUAUUAGGGAAGAACAAAUGUGUAAGUAACUAUGCACGUCUUGACGGUACCUAAUCAGUAAGCCACGGCUAACUACGUG